rnacentral:lncRNA from 1 species
GGGACAUUCCAGGCCUGCAGGACCAGCGGGACCUCAGACAUGGUGACCGAGAUGUUCCUGGGCUGCACGGUGAGCUGCACGCACUGCCGCAGCUCGGAGGCGAAGCGCUGGGGCUCAUCUGCCCGUUCACAGCGGUCCUUGCGUGAGCAUACAUUGUGGAGGACGCACCAGCCGCAGUGGGGGUCCCGGGAGCCCAGGCACAGCUCACAGCUCUCAUAUUGCUCACAGCUCU